rnacentral:rRNA from 1 species
UACGAAGGGGGCGAGCGUUGUUCGGAUUUACUGGGCGUAAAGGGCGCGUAGGCGGCCUUGUCAGUCAGGCGUGAAAGCCCCGGGCUCAACCUGGGAACGGCGCUUGGGACGGCGAGGCUGGAGUUCGGGAGAGGAGAGUGGAAUUCCCAGUGUAGAGGUGAAAUUCGUAGAUAUUGGGAAGAACACCGGUGGCGAAGGCGGUUCUCUGGACCGACACUGACGCUGAGGCGCGAAAGCGUGGGGAGCAAACGGG